GAAGGCCAGGCUGAAGACUUUGCCGGAUUAGCUGAGAGGUGGUGCAUGGCCGUCGUCAGUUCGUACUGUGAAGCAUCCUGUUAAGUCAGGCAACGAGCCGAGACCCACGCCCACAGUUGCCAGCGUACUCUCUGGAGUGACGGGUACACUGUGGGACCGCCGCUGCUAAAGCGGAGGAAGGAAUGGGCAACGGUAGGUCAGUAUGCCCCGAAUAUCCCGGGCUACACGCGAGCUACAAUGGUUGGUACAAUGGGUAUCUACCCCGAAAGGGGACGGGAAUCUCCUAAAACCAAUCUUAGUUCGGAUUGAGGGCUGCAACUCGCCCUCAUGAAGCUGGAAUCCGUAGUAAUCGCGUUUCAACAGAACGCGGUGAAUACGUCCCUGCUCCUU
rnacentral:rRNA from 1 species